GGUGGGGUGGCCGAGUGGUGAGGCAGCGGCCUGCAAAGCCGUUAACGCGGGUUCGAUUCCCGUCCCCACCU
rnacentral:tRNA from 3 species